AUGUCUACUUCCGGGUAAGCAUAUUGUCUACAUCAUGAUUUAUAAGAGAUGAAGACGAGAAAUCUUUUGGCAGGUCAUUGGCGAUGUAAUGAAUCAAGUUUAAGAAUUUAGACAUAUUUUGAAAACUUUACAUUUGAUAGUAUAUGAAAAUGACAAAAAUAUUAUUAUUGUGUUUUGUUUUUUAGUUGUGUUGGGCGAUUGUAGUAGGUGAUUGUAUUAGGUGACAAUACAGUGAUACUCUAACAUGGUUCUUGUUUUCUGGU